rnacentral:rRNA from 1 species
AGCGAACGCUGGCGGCAGGCCUAACACAUGCAAGUCGAACGGAUCCUUCGGGAUUAGUGGCGGACGGGUGAGUAACACGUGGGAACGUGCCCUUUGGUUCGGAACAACUCAGGGAAACUUGAGCUAAUACCGGAUGUGCCCUUCGAGGGAAAGAUUUAUCGCCAUUGGAGCGGCCCGCGUCUGAUUAGCUAGUUGGUGGGGUAAGGGCCAACCAAGGCGAGGAUCAGUAGCUGGUCUGAGGGGAUGAUCAGCCACAUUGGGAUUGAGACACGGCCCAAACUCCUACGGGAGGCAGCAGUGGGGAAUCUUGCGCAAUGGGCGAAAGCCUGACGCAGCCAUGCCGCGUGAAUGAUGAAGGUCUUAGGAUUGUAAAAUUCUUUCACCGGGGACGAUAAUGACGGUACCCGGAGAAGAAGCCCCGGCUAACUUCGUGCCAGCAGCAGCCGCCGUAA